rnacentral:sRNA from 1 species
UGGUUUGUGGCUAUUAGACUGGCUUC